UACGGGGGGAGCAAGCGUUGUUCGGAUUUACUGGGCGUAAAGGGCGCGUAGGCGGUCGUGACAAGUCACUUGUGAAAUCUCCGGGCUUAACUCGGAACGGUCAACUGAUACUGCGCGGCUAGAGUGCAGAAGGGGCAACUGGAAUUCUCGGUGUAGCGGUGAAAUGCGUAGAUAUCAGGAGGAACACCGGUGGUGUAGACGGCUUACUGGACCACGACUGACACUGAGGCACGAAAGCGUGGGUAGCAAACAGG
rnacentral:rRNA from 1 species